UACAGAGGUCUCAAGCGUUGUUCGGAUUCAUUGGGCGUAAAGGGUGCGUAGGCGGCGCGGUAAGUCGGGUGUGAAAUCUCGGAGCUUAACUCCGAAACUGCAUUCGAUACUGCCGUGCUUGAGGACUGGAGAGGAGACUGGAAUUUACGGUGUAGCGGUGAAAUUCGUAGAUAUCGGGAGGAACACCAGCGGCGAAGGCGGCCAUCUGGACGGAUACUGACGCUGAGACGCGAAAGCGUGGGGGAGCAAACAGG
rnacentral:rRNA from 1 species